AGCUCACAGUGGGAGCUCUGCAUUGGCUUUCCAUAUAAGGCAGUAACUCUGUAUGAAUCACACGAUUCAUGCAGUGUUUUCAACCUUCAGACAUGCUUUUUUGUCCAGAAGGUCUUAAGCUGUCUGGUUGUUUGUUCCUGCCAUCCUCUAUGGGCUGAGAAGGGUUCUGUCAUUUCUAGUCCAUUGGCACAGUGCUUGCUUGAAACCCAGUCACCACCUUGGAGUACAGUGUAUUCCUCCUUAAUGUCUCCAGAGUCUGCCCUCUAGCUUCAAUGUGGACUUCAUCUAGACUGUGGCUUUCAGUCUCACCCUGUUAAAACCUCUAUCAUUAGACCAACAAUUACAAGACUCAUAUCAAAGAAUCGGCAAGAGACAGCAUUGCUUCAGUUAAGUACUGGUAAGCUGCCAGUCAUAUUUAAGGUAACAGUAUUCCCUUCUGAGCGAGAGGAAUCCCUAAAGCGGUAUAAAAGGCUCUCCACACACAGGAUCCAAAACGCUCGAGGCUUUCUGCUGCACUCCUGGCCCCUGAAUAAUUCAACGGCGUUUUCCUCAGUGUGACAGACCGGGACUUCACUCCGCCCCUUUACACCCCUCACACCUUUUUUGAAAACCUCUUCUCUUGUCUUUUUGCAAAUGGUCUGCUUAUUGGUCUUUUCAUUAUGUAUGAAUGUACUGUUAAUAGCCCAUAAUUAAUAGACUUGUAACAACCCUUGGCUAAAUUAUUCAUGUUUUACUACCCUCAGAAAUAGGUCUCUAAUACUUCAAAAAGAGAGUGGAAGGGUAGUCUGUCAUGGUCUUGUACAUGAAAAUGUAGGUUUUUAAUAUUUCAGGGGCUCAUCAGAUGUGCUGUAGACAAGGAUUUGUACAAAUACUAAAACGGGAAUGAAUAGAAAAGAGGAUAAAAUGUGCACGGCUCUAAUGUACUCCCAAGUAUAAAUAGGUCUUUACAUCUGGUCUGCUGCAACUUUAAUGACUGCUCUUUCAUGAAUAUAAUUGAACACAUCUCCUCUGACACAUCCCUUCUUUCAUCCAAGGUCACCUUUUCAGAGAUGCACCAUACGUGUGGAGCUUAUCACAUUUUUGAGAGAAAUGUCAUCUUGGAUGUCAGUUCUGUGGGAUGUGGUGGAGGAAAACCCCACUGGUCGCCAUGAUAAACCUUUGGUGACGGUGACCUUUCUUUCACAGGAAGAUCAGUUUAGGUUUUAAUCUGAGGAUAAUUUAAACGGCCAAAGCACAGUUGUUGAUUGGAGCCUUUAUUCCACUGUUAAUAUUCUGAGAGUAUCGCACCACCAAUAAGUUUCUUCAGCUUUUAGCCCAACCCAUCCGGGUUGGAGAGAAUUGAGCUGUCAUUUGAGCAACGAUUAGGGUUAACUGCCUUUUUCAAGGAUAGAACGAUUUCACCUUGUUGACGUAGAGUUCAAUCUAGCCAUGUUUCUGUAAACUGGUCAGGUGCUCUAACCGCUGGGCCAUCAGGUGCUCUAACACUAGGCUCAGUCCUAUAUUGGCAUGAUGCCGGGGCUUUAAUAUCGAUCAUCUCCAGCGAUUUGGCUGGAGCAAAAAUAUGACGCUAUGCAAUAACCUUGGGUCUAUAUGUGAAUCCGGAGGCAGGUUUUACUGUGUAGUGUUCCACACGGUGAGAUUUCCCCGAUUUGGGCUUGGAGUUCCAUUUGCAUUGUGUCUCAACAUGCAUUCUGCCUGGGAACAGUCGGUGUGGGCAUUAGGGCAACGGGGCGGUUCAGGAAUACCAAUAUAAUGUGUUUGCUGUCACUGUCUUGUCACAUCACCGUAUGUUGUCGUUGCCGUUCGUGUUCUUAUUCAGCACGUCUACUUUUCUGGCGUUCAGUUGUCGUGUUCGCCCAUUGACAGUCAUUAAAUGAUGUAAUGGACUCCCAGACAAAUCUUAUUCAGCACUUUCUUAUAUUUGGCUGCAGGUGCAAUUUCAAGUGUGAAAAGAUGUAUCCAAUGUUUGUGUGAUUAUGUUUAAUGAAUAUGAAUACUGGUAUGCCCAGAAUCGAGACAUUGGAUUCCUGGAGAAUGCAGUCUAUAGUACCAGAUGUUCACUGUGGUGGACGAGGCUGUCGUGGAGUCCCCAGUCCAGGUCAUUGUCUGAGCAAACUUUCAAUCCAGUUGUGGUAGUGGGUUCGCUAACACAAUUCAUGACUACCAUUCUUGAGUUAAGAUUGGCAAUCGGAUUGUGCCCUACUGAAAACAAUGGGCCCAUGUUUCUUUGGUUGCAUGUUCAUCACACUCCAGAUGGGCUGUCAGUUUUCAUGGCUUUGUAGAGUUCCUUUUGAUUUGUAUUGGAAGCGGGUUGUUUCCAUGAUCAUAUAGCUGUAUCAUGUGAUUUACUCCCCUGUUUAAACAAUUAUUUAAAAAAGAUAAAAUGAUACAAAAAAGACUGUUAAAC
ensembl:lncRNA